rnacentral:lncRNA from 1 species
UUUUUUUUUUUUUUUUUUGGAGACAGGAUCUCUGUCACCCAGGCUUAAGUGCAGUGGCGCAUUCACAACUCACUGCAACCUUGACUUCUGGGGCUCCGCUGAUCCUCCCACCUCAGCCUCCCAAGUAGCUGGGAGUAUAGGUGUGCACCACCAUGUCUGGCUUUUUUUUUUUUGGUAGAGUUGAGGUCUUACUAUGUUGCCCAGGCUGGUCAAAUUCCUGCCCUCAAUUCAGUGUCAAAUUUCUUGAAGAACUGAUAAGUACUUCAGUUCUCAUUGAGUAGUGCUGUCUUCUGCCAUUGGUGAUGUUUUCUCAGCUUGGUGUGCCUUUUUCAACAUCGACUUUUAAAAACAUGUAUGUUUUUAAGACAUACGGCAUCAUUUUCUCGAAAUACUGAUGUGCUCAGCAGUCUUUUUACAAUCUCAAUUGUCUUUUACUUGACUCAAGUUACUUCCAUCAAGUCUCUGUCGGUGGUUGUGCCUUCUGGGCAUCACGAAAGUGACAUUUCCUCUCCUGUUUUUGGUUUUGAACAUGCCCUUGUAACUCCACGGUGAUCUGAAAGUUCAAGACCUCAAAGAAGGUAACUUAAUGCUGCCCAGCAUGACCACUCAUUUUGUUCACAGAGAGGGAAGGAGAGUUUUACGUAACAUAUUCUUUUUCCUUCCAGUUCUUUUUAGGUUGGCAUUUCUUCCAAAGAUUCCUGAGUUGUUUUGUACAGCUGACUUCAAUCUCAGUCCUUUCCUUGGCAGAUAUGAUGAAUUUCUCAAGACUACCAAUUUUCUAAGUUGUCAAACUGAUUCCAGAGUUCUGGGUCCAGGUAGGGACGCAAGUCCCUAUCCAGCCACCCACUUGCCUCCUGAGUUUCUGGCGGCCGCCGCCCAGCUCCGUAGGCUCCUCAGCGGCUCCUCUUUCCGGUCCCUCCUCACCAAGAUGGCCGGAGGAACCCGCGCCGAGGCCUGCAGGGCCGCCGGCCUUGGGUACUUGAACGUUGUGAGUAACCCGGCAUUCGCGACUCCAGCGGCGCAGGCACACGUUUCCCCAGGGUAGGGGUGUGGGGCGGCCCGGGCGUAGCCACGGCACCAGCCAAGGAGGGAAAGACAGAGAGGUCCGGACGUUGCUCGCCAUCUCUCCGGAAGCUCCAGCCGGGCCGGGACCCGAGCAGAGAGCCGCGCUGAGAAGUCGCCCCCUGCCGCCGCGGAGGCCGUCGGCCAGGCCCACGGACUGAGCGACCGGAGGCGGAGCCUGCAGCCCGGCAUGGGGAAUGGAGCGCUCUGGGGUUGCAGGGGCUGGGGAGCCGGGAGCCGGGUGCCUGGAAUAGAGUUCCCCCAGGAGUAGUCCGAAGCAGUGUCCUCCCGGGAGCGCCCAGGGAAGAACCUGGAGGUCCAAGCUGUGGGCUCUUAAGAGAAGGGAGGCGGCCUAUUGAAGGUCCUAGAGGCCCGAGGUAACAGGGCUUCAGGGACCACUAGUGCGUCUUUCCUGCUGACACCUUAGGCCUGUUACUGAAAACAAAGAAGCACCCAAGGAAU